rnacentral:rRNA from 1 species
GAUGAACGCUGGCGGCGUGCCUAAUACAUGCAAGUCGAGCGAACGGACGAGAAGCUUGCUUCUCUGAUGUUAGCGGCGGACGGGUGAGUAACACGUGGAUAACCUACCUAUAAGACUGGGAUAACUUCGGGAAACCGGAGCUAAUACCGGAUGAUAUUUUGAACCGCAUGGUUCAAAAGUGAAAGACGGUCUUGCUGUCACUUAUAGAUGGAUCCGCGCUGCAUUAGCUAGUUGGUAAGGUAACGGCUUACCAAGGCAACGAUGCAUAGCCGACCUGAGAGGGUGAUCGGCCACACUGGAACUGAGACACGGUCCAGACUCCUACGGGAGGCAGCAGUAGGGAAUCUUCCGCAAUGGGCGAAAGCCUGACGGAGCAACGCCGCGUGAGUGAUGAAGGCCUUCGGAUCGUAAAACUCUGUUAUUAGGGAAGAACAUAUGUGUAAGUAACUGUUCACAUCUUGACGGUACCUAAUCAGAAAGCCACGGCUAACUACGUG